rnacentral:rRNA from 1 species
GUGGGGAAUCUUCCGCAAUGGACGAAAGUCUGACGGAGCAACGCCGCGUGAGUGAAGAAGGUUUUCGGAUCGUAAAGCUCUUUCGUUAGGGACGAACGUGCUCUUUGUGAAUAAUGAGGAGUAAUGACGGUACCUAAAUAAGAAGCCACGGCUAACUACGUGCCAGCAGCCGCGGUAAUACGUAGGUGGCAAGCGUUGUCCGGAAUUAUUGGGCGUAAAGCGCGCGCAGGCGGGAUAUCAAGUCUGUCUUAAAAGUGCGAGGCUCAACCUCGUGAGGGGACAGAAACUGGUAUUCUUGAGUGUCGGAGAGGAAAGUGGAAUUCCAAGUGUAGCGGUGAAAUGCGUAGAGAUUUGGAAGAACACCAGUGGCGAAGGCGACACACUGGCUCAUUACUGACGCUGAGGCGCGAAAGCGUGGGGAGCAAACAGGAUUAGAAACCCGAGUAGUCC